GAUGAACGCUGGCGGCGUGCCUAAUACAUGCAAGUCGAGCGAACAGACGAGGAGCUUGCUCCUCUGACGUUAGCGGCGGACGGGUGAGUAACACGUGGAUAACCUACCUAUAAGACUGGGAUAACUUCGGGAAACCGGAGCUAAUACCGGAUAAUAUAUUGAACCGCAUGGUUCAAUAGUGAAAGACGGUUUUGCUGUCACUUAUAGAUGGAUCCGCGCCGCAUUAGCUAGUUGGUAAGGUAACGGCUUACCCAGGCGACGAUGCGUAGCCGACCUGAGAGGGUGAUAGGCCACACUGGAACUGAGACACGGUCCAGACUCCUACGGGAGGCAGCAGUAGGGAAUCUUCCGCAAUGGGCGAAAGCCUGACGGAGCAACGCCGCGUGAGUGAUGAAGGUCUUCGGAUCGUAAAACUCUGUUAUUAGGAAAGAACAAAUGUGUAAGUAACUAUGCACGUCUUGACGGUACCUAAUCAGAAAGCCACGGCUAACUACGUG
rnacentral:rRNA from 1 species